rnacentral:tRNA from 1 species
GCGAACGUGGCGGAAUUGGUAUACGCGCUAGCUUGAGGGGCUAGUGCCCGCAAGGGCUUGAGGGUUCGAGUCCCUCCGUUCGCACCA